CCUACGGGAGGCAGCAGUAGGGAAUCUUCCACAAUGGGCGAAAGCCUGAUGGAGCAACGCCGCGUGGGUGAAGAAGGUCUUCGGAUCGUAAAACUCUGUUGUUAGAGAAGAAAGUGCGUGAGAGUAACUGUUCACGUUUCGACGGUAUCUAACCAGAAAGCCACGGCUAACUACGUGCCAGCAGCCGCGGUAAUACGUAGGUGGCAAGCGUUAUCCGGAUUUAUUGGGCGUAAAGGGAACGCAGGCGGUCUUUUACGUCUGAUGUGAAAGCCUUCGGCUUAACCGGAGUAGUGCAUUGGAAACUGGGAGACUUGAGUGCAGAAGAGGAGAGUGGAAUUCCAUGUGUAGCGGUGAAAUGCGUAGAUAUAUGGAAGAACACCAGUGGCGAAGGCGGCUCUCUGGUCUGUAACUGACGCUGAGGUUCGAAAGCGUGGGUAGCAAACAGGAUUAGAUACCCCGGUAGUC
rnacentral:rRNA from 1 species